CCAAGAAAAGUUCCCACUGUCAUAAAUAAAAAAUACCUGUACUCUAAACCGACACAGGUGGGUUGGUAGAGAAUACCAAGGGGCGCGAGAUAACUCUCUCUAAGGAACUCGGCAAAAUAACCCCGUAACUUUGGGAUAAGGGGUACCUUUUUAAGGUUGCAAUAACCAGGUCCAAGCGACUGUUUACCAAAAACACAGGUUUCCGCUAAGUUGUAAAACGAUGUAUGGGAGCUGACGCCUGCCCAGUGCCGGAAGGUUAAGGAAGUUGGUUUAAUGCUGAUAACUGAAGCCCCGGUGAACGGCGGCCGUAACAAUAACGGUCCUAAGGUAGCGAAA
rnacentral:rRNA from 1 species